rnacentral:rRNA from 1 species
UACGGAGGGUGCAAGCGUUGUCCAGAAUCACUGGGCGUAAAGGGCGCGUAGGCGGCUCAUGAAGGCUGUGGUGAAAGUCCGGGGCUCAACCUCGGAUCGGCCGUGGCGACUCGUGGGCUGGAGCACUGUAGAGGCGGGUGGAAUUCCGGGUGUAGCGGUGGAAUGCGUAGAGAUCCGGAAGAACACCGGUGGCGAAGGCGGCCCGCUGGGCAACUGCUGACACUGAGGCGCGACAGCGUGGGGAGCAAACAGG